CUACGGGUUGCUGCAGUGAGGAAUUUUGCGCAAUGGGGGAAACCCUGACGCAGCAACGCCGCGUGAGUGAAGAAGGCUUUCGGGUCGUAAAGCUCUGUCAAGUGGGAAAAAACAUUUCGGAUUAAUAGUCCGGAAGAUUGAUGGUACCACUGGAGGAAGCACCGGCUAACUCCGUGCCAGCAGCCGCGGUAAUACGGAGGGUGCAAGCGUUGUUCGGAAUUACUGGGCGUGAAGAGCGUGUAGGCGGGUUGGUAAGUCAGAUGUGAAGGCCCCGGGCUUAACUCGGGAAGUGCAUUUGAAACUGCCAUCCUUGAGUAUGGGAGAGGAGAGUGGAAUUCCCAGUGUAGAGGUGAAAUUCGUAGAUAUUGGGAGGAACACCCGUGGCGAAGGCGGCUCUCUGGACCAAUACUGACGCUGAGACGCGAAAGCGUGGGGAGCAAACAGGAUUAGAUACCCGCGUAGUC
rnacentral:rRNA from 1 species